UACGAAGGGGGCUAGCGUUGCUCGGAAUCACUGGGCGUAAAGGGGGCGUAGGCGGGUUUUUAAGUCAGGGGUGAAAUCCUGGAGCUCAACUCCAGAACUGCCUUUGAUACUGAAGAUCUUGAGUCCGGGAGAGGUGAGUGGAACUGCGAGUGUAGAGGUGAAAUUCGUAGAUAUUCGCAAGAACACCAGUGGCGAAGGCGGCUCACUGGCCCGGUACUGACGCUGAGGCACGAAAGCGUGGGGAGCAAACAGG
rnacentral:rRNA from 1 species